UACAGAGGUCCCAAGCGUUGUUCGGAUUUACUGGGCGUAAAGGGCGCGUAGGCGGCGCGGUAAGUCACUUGUGAAAUCUCUGAGCUUAACUCAGAACGGCCAAGUGAUACUGCAGUGCUAGAGUGUGGAAGGGGCAAUCGGAAUUCUUGGUGUAGCGGUGAAAUGCGUAGAUAUCCGGAGGAACACCAGUGGCGAAAGCGGCCACCUGGACUGUACCUGACGCUCAAACACGAAAGCUAGGGGAGCGAACGGG
rnacentral:rRNA from 1 species